UACGGGGGGGGCAAGCGUUGUUCGGAAUUACUGGGCGUAAAGCGCGUGUAGGCGGUCCGGUAAGUCCGCUGUGAAAGUCGGGGGCUCAACCCUCGGAUGCCGGUGGAUACUGUCGGGCUUGAGUACGGAAGAGGCGAGUGGAAUUCCUGGUGUAGCGGUGAAAUGCGCAGAUAUCAGGAGGAACACCAAUAGCGAAGGCAGCUCGCUGGGACGGUACUGACGCUAAGGCGCGAAAGCGUGGGGAGCAAACAGG
rnacentral:rRNA from 1 species